CAUAUACACAGGACUUCCCCAUUACAGGUCGGAAUCAGGACGGACUCCUUUAGCUGGGGCUUCCAUGUUCAACGGCUGUCACAGCAUUUUUUAUAUCCUAAGGAAGACUAUGUGUGGCUAUCACCACAGAAAUUUCUCACAAUACUCUGGAAGAAGCAGUGUUAUGGGAAAAGAACAUCUCAUCUUUAGGAAAACAGCAAAAGGCAAAUAUAGUGUCACAAGCAGAAAGAAGCAGCAUUGCACAGUGGGCUGGAACUCUUAGGAGGAAAUUGAUACUUCCAGGAUGAAAAUGGAACAGAACCAAGACAUUAUAAUGAGAGUCAUUUGGUGCUAGAGAAGUCCCCUUAAAAAUGGUGCAUAGUCAACUUGCAACGUGAUCAUUACAGGCUAUUUUCCUUGUUCACAUUCUCAACAUAAAUGCUUUGGAAGAGGCAACGGUAUUUUA